rnacentral:rRNA from 1 species
CCUACGGGAGGCAGCAGUGAGGAAUAUUGGUCAAUGGACGAGAGUCUGAACCAGCCAAGUAGCGUGAAGGAUGACUGCCCUAUGGGUUGUAAACUUCUUUUAUAUGGGAAUAAAAUGUUCCACGUGUGGGAUUUUGUAUGUACCAUAUGAAUAAGGAUCGGCUAACUCCGUGCCAGCAGCCGCGGUAAUACGGAGGAUCCGAGCGUUAUCCGGAUUUAUUGGGUUUAAAGGGAGCGUAGGUGGAUUGUUAAGUCAGUUGUGAAAGUUUGCGGCUCAACCGUAAAAUUGCAGUUGAAACUGGCAGUCUUGAGUACAGUAGAGGUGGGCGGAAUUCGUGGUGUAGCGGUGAAAUGCUUAGGUAUCACGAAGAACUCCGAUUGCGAAGGCAGUUCACUGGACUGCAACUGACACUGAGGCUCGAAAGUGUGGGUAUCAAACAGGAUUAGAUACCCCAGUAGUC